ACCACCUAAUGAGAGACGCCAGGUACAACAAAGGACCAGAGACUGUGCUUACAUGGAGUCCCUCUCUUUGGGAGGAGAUGAAAGAAAUUGCCUCUGGCAAAGGAAUGAAGUAAUUGCAGACAGAGGAGGAAGGAUGGCUACAUAGGAAAUUGAAGUUCAAGGGAGCUACAGAAGGAUGUUGUUCAUCUGAAAAGACGACAGAAGCAGAACUGGAAGAGGCAGAAUAUUGGUCUGGGGAAAGGAAGAAAGAAAUUAGAAGUUCAGCAAGAUGCCUCAAGCAUUUCAUCUUUGAACUCCAGUGGUUUCCUAUGAUCUGCUGCCUUCCAGAGCACGCAGAUUUCAAGAACGUCUGAAGUUCUGCCUAGCAACAGAGACAAAGCACAGACUGCUGCGAUUUAAACAUUUUCCUCUAUAUAUACUUCAUGAAGUUAUGCCGAUUUCUGGUGCUUGAUCUGCAGAGCUCCCAAAUGCAUCCACUGACACUUGACGUGCAGAACUUCCUGGAGUCUUUAACAAUGCUCCCAAAUGAGAAUACAGCCCAUGUCUGCAAGACCUAUCCCAAAGUCACAGACAACUUUUGGAUUUUAUCAGAUGUAUGAAAGCUAGGCCAUUAGUGAGCAAACUAGUGUCUGCAUUUUAAUGGAGAUUGUCUUUGAAAAAUUCGUUGACACCAUCAGGCAAAUGUCUGCGAGAGAUAUCUAUCUGUACCUGGAACUCACACCUUCUUCCUCAUCCCAUUUUCAUUCAGUCCAAAUAAGAGCAGCUCCACACAACCUUUUUAUUGGAUGCAGAGAACUCACUAAGAAGAUGCCCACUGGACAUUUCAAAAAUUAUACAAAGGCACUGUAGUUAGCUCAGACAAUCAAUAUUACUUUAUUACAACCCUUCUGUAUUUUCAGACAAAUCUACAAUCAGACGUCUAGGUCAUUUUUCCUCAGGUUUACAUUUUAAGGUGAAUCAAAAAGACGCAUUUUGUCAGUGAAGUUAUUAAUGCCAAAAGAAAAGGACAAAAGGAGGAACAGAUUUCUUUCCCAGACUGGAAAUGCAGCUUCACCUACUCUGAAACAGUACCCAGAGAAGCAUUUCAGGGCAGUCCCACAGCUGUUAGUAAAAGAAAAAAAUAAAUAAAUAAAAAUAAAAACACGUGCACACAAGUGUAGUAUCAAACCUUGAUCUUAGUUUUUCUUCAUCUUCUCCACAGUUACUUUGACAUCUGGCUUUGUUUGCUUGCAUCCUUUAUCGCAUCAUGAAUUACUAACUGACAUAGUCAUUUGACCAUGUAGAAAGUCUCAGAACAAUCUCUACAAGCUGGAUUUUUCAAAUUC